AACGAACGCUGGCGGCAUGCCUAACACAUGCAAGUCGAACGAGAUCUUCGGGUCUAGUGGCGCACGGGUGCGUAACGCGUGGGAAUCUGCCCUUUGGUUCGGAAUAACAGUUGGAAACGACUGCUAAUACCGGAUGAUGACGAAAGUCCAAAGAUUUAUCGCCAGAGGAUGAGCCCGCGUAGGAUUAGCUAGUUGGUGUGGUAAAGGCGCACCAAGGCGACGAUCCUUAGCUGGUCUGAGAGGAUGAUCAGCCACACUGGGACUGAGACACGGCCCAGACUCCUACGGGAGGCAGCGGUGGGGAAUAUUGGACAAUGGGCGAAAGCCUGAUCCAGCAAUGCCGCGUGAGUGAUGAAGGCCUUAGGGUUGUAGAGCUCUUUUACCCGGGAUGAUAAUGACAGUACCGGGAGAAUAAGCUCCGGCUAACUCCGUGCCAGCCGCCGCAGUAA
rnacentral:rRNA from 1 species